rnacentral:lncRNA from 1 species
CUGGUAUCUAAUGUAAGUUUGUAUACUUUUAUGAAUAUGCACCUUUAAAUUUACUGAUCUCCGCCGUAAGACCUAGGAUAUAUAAAGUAUGCAUGAUGCAAUGGCUAAUUAUAAUUAAAGACAAGUUAUUGAUAAUGAUAAGUAUGACAUGUUUAGGAAUAUAAAAACCGAAUUGUUGUUGCCUCUAUCUUAUUAUGUAUCUU